UACGAAGGGGGGCUAGCGUUGCUCGGAAUUACUGGGCGUAAAGCGCACGUAGGCGGCUUCUUAAGUCGGUGGUGAAAUCCUGGAGCUCAACUCCAGAACUGCCUUCGAUACUGGGAGCUCGAGUCCGGGAGAGGUGAGUGGAACUGCGAGUGUAGAGGUGAAAUUCGUAGAUAUUCGCAAGAACACCAGUGGCGAAGGCGGCUCACUGGCCCGGUACUGACGCUGAGGUGCGAAAGCGUGGGGAGCAAACGGGG
rnacentral:rRNA from 1 species